CAAUGCGUUCCCCAUCUUUCCCAGGUAGACCCGCGGAGAAUGGGAAGGGAGGGAAAGCUGUUCCUCUCCCUCAGGACGAGAGCAUCUGUCCAACUAUGGAGCAGCCUGGAAUGGUUCGGGAGGUUGAAGGCGCAGUCAGACACCUGGCAGGUUGGAGCCCAAGAAGAGCACACAUGGUGUGAGUGCACUGCUCGGGCUUCUGACCAUGAGCCACGGAGGGCCAGAAACUUGUGUUCACCUUCAGAGCCUGUGCCAAAGCCAAUGUUGACAGUCAGAGGUUCGUGGGUGGACUUUUGAGUGAUCCGCUGACCAGCCUGAAAAGAACACCCCUCCACCAGGUCUGGAUCUCUCUCUGCGAGAUCAGGUGGAUUUCGAUCAUUCCCCCCCCCCAACCCCCAGCUUACUCACGGCCUUGAUUCCUCCCGCAGGCCUUGAUGCCUUAGCCAUCCCCGCGUGCUGGACAGUCUCUGCGAUUUCCCCUUGAGAUGGAUCCGCGCUUCCCAAGCCAGGAGUUCCUACUUCACUUCCGGCCAGGAAGCUUUAUUGUGCCCAUUUCACAGCUGGAAAGGAUUAAGCCAGGUCCCCAGACCGCGAGAAGCAAAACCAGGAUUCACCCCCACAUGGAUCUGCGUCCUUCCUAUCCCCUUCCAGGAAAAAACCAGAGGCAGGGUGGUGACCUGGGAAGCCUCUAGCGAUAACAGAGGCCAACGUUAGGGUAACGCAGUGGGAAUUGCUGGCGCCGGGAUGCUGGGAAGGGGCAGAUCUGAGUCCUAGGGAAUGCAGGGUCUGGGUGGGCUGGCCAUCCUGGGGAGGGACACAAAGAGAUAAGAACUCAUUGCAGUAAAUUAUUUUUAUAGAGUAUCUUAUAAAACUUCCAUAAAUAGGACCUCGUUUGUUCCUCUUCACAGAUUUGGAAGGUCAGUCUCAGCACCCCCUUGAAUGCAGGUGCUCUGAUUCAAAAGCUGAUGCAUCUCCACUCCUCCCCUGCCCCCCAUGGCCCCAUCACACACUCUAGGGAACAAAUUCCACCUGGGAUGUGUGUGCCCUCUAUGUGCUCCAGGGCCUUGGUGAGAAGGUCACACCUACAAACCUCAGUGACCCAGCAAAAGGUUAUUGCUUGCACGAGUUUAACACCAGCGUAGAAAUUCUGGGAAGGAGGUACCAGAAAUUGAGUCAGAAUGGACCAAAGAGAGAUGGUGGAUGGUUGGUCAGGUCAGACUGAGGGUUUGUUUCUCUGGAAGCUCGGGGCACACUGACCUGGCUUGACAGUACCUCGGGGAGUGUCUCUCUGGGUAACUGUGCUCUCUGUAGAGCUGGAAGCUUGUCAGUCCUUGAGAAACGGCAACCUCUUGCCAGUAUUGGACUAUGGGAAUGAGAGAAUAAUUGUCCUAAAGGUGUUAAUGCUUGUCGCCAAAAAGUAAUUUCGAUUUAAUCAUGUAGU